rnacentral:rRNA from 1 species
UACAGAGGUCUCAAGCGUUGUUCGGAUUCAUUGGGCGUAAAGGGUGCGUAGGUGGUCAGGUAAGUCUGAUGUGAAAUCUCUGGGCUCAACCCAGAAACUGCAUUGGAUACUAUCUGGCUAGAGGAGUGGAGGGGGGGACUGGAAAUACUUGGUGUAGCAGUGAAAAUGCGUAGAUAUCAAGUGGAACACCAGUGGCGAAGGCGAGUCCCUGGACACUUCCUGACACUGAGGCACGAAAGCUAGGGGAGCAAACGGG